rnacentral:lncRNA from 1 species
GUCGAAUCUAUCAUUUUCGGCCUGGCGCCGCGUCAGCAGAGGGGGCGGGGAGGCGAGCGCGGAACUGGGGGAGGGGACAGGGCGGGGAGGAGCGGGCAGAGCAGCUGCAGGAGUUGCUGGGAGCGCGCGCGGUGCGAUCACUCGGCGUCGGAGGAGGCCCAGAGACCUGAACGCAGACGCUUCUCCCGCGGCCUACAGCGUCUUCUCCCCACCGGAGGACCAGGAAACCGCAGUUCUCAUCACAGAGUCUCAGAGGGAUUGGAGAAUGACUCCAUUUCCUUGGUAUAUUCAUAAAAUGGUUCACCCAGUGAGGACAAUGAAGAUUAUGGACACUGCUGCCCUGCUUUUUCUGAUGUCCUGCACCAGCCCCACAGUGAGGCGCGCCUGGACUGCAUCUAGGACAGCAUUGGCCGGUGGCACGGUGGAUGGUGGUGACCUUCCGCUUCUCUCUUUUCCUUUCACUUUCUAUACUAAGCCCGGUGGUGGGG